rnacentral:lncRNA from 1 species
GACGGAACCAUGGGGCUGGGUUUACACCAGUUAUGCGAAGCCCCUCCGCUCUGCCCCCGCCUGCGAGGGGCUUUCUUGGCUGGGUCUGUUCCUGACAGAAGGGAAGCGAGUUGUGGGGGUGGGGGGGCUUGGCAUGUGUGUGUGUGUGAGUGUGUGUGUGUGGUGUGUGUUUAAAAUACAGAAAAAAAAAAGAAGCAUGGCUUUCCUCAGCUGCAGAGGCGGGCCGGGUUCUGUCGGUGCCAAGUCCCUCAGAGCGGGCACUGUGGGGACACGGGAGGCACAAGAAGGCUGCAGAGGUGAGGGACGGGUGUGGAGAAAGAUGGACGCUUGCCAUCUCGAGCGCCAGCGGCUGCACGAGGCCAGACCCCACGAACAAAACCCACGGCAGAUCUCUGGCAACCCAUGUUAGGAGGCAGAAGACAGUUGGCAGCGAUGCGGCACAGAGGGCAGCCUGGGAGCGGGCGGAUGUAGCCAAGGCCAGCACGGAACAGAGGCUUGACAACUGCCACUCCCCUGGAAUUUGGGAUCUGCAUACUCAGGUGUGUACACGUGUGUGUGUGUGUGUGUGUGUGUGUGUGUGUGUAUGCUCGUGUAUGCAUGUGGGCAUGUCAGGUAUGUGGGCACGCCUGUGUGCACACAGGAGGUAGCGACAGCCCAGCUCUCCCCCCACAUUGGUGAAAUUUACAUUGAACCACAAAUUAAUUUCAUAAUUUUUUUCUCUCUAAUUAUGCCAACAUCUGUUGCAAGGCAAGCUGUGUGUGCGCAUUUUAAUGUGUC